rnacentral:rRNA from 1 species
UACGUAGGUGGCAAGCGUUGUCCGGAUUUACUGGGCGUAAAGAGCGCGCAGGCGGUUGUGCAAGUCGCGUGUGAAAGCCCCCGGCUCAACUGGGGAGGGUCACGCGAUACUGCUCAACUCGAAGGCAGGAGAGGGAAGUGGAAUUCCCGGUGUAGUGGUGAAAUUCGUAGAUAUUGGCUGGAACACCGGUGGCGAAAGCGGCUCUCUGGCCCGGUUCUGACGCUGAGGAGCGAAAAGCGUGGGGGAGCAAACAGG